rnacentral:lncRNA from 1 species
AUAGGAGGAGAUGGCUAAUGAACUUCUUCUUCUCUCGAGGUAUGUUCUUAAUUAUCCUUCUAAAAUUAAUUGUUAGUUAAUUUAUUUCACGAAAUUUAUUGUGCCCCUAUCAGUAUAGUGUUUACUUUGGUAUAUUAAAUCAUGUGUAAUAAAUACAAGUUAUGAUACGAGGAAGAAAUUAUAGUUGUUUAAUUAGUCGAAUAAAAAAUAAAUAUGAAAAAUCUUUGUUGUCUUAACCGGAAAAGUAUUACAGAUCGUGUUGAAUUUUACAACUACUUAAAAAGACUGUGUAGAAUUUGCAACAACUUGUAAUAUUGUGAAUUAUUUUACCAAUAAUUAUAUGUGCCGAAACA